GCUACGGGGACGGACAUGGGGCGGCUCCAGGUGUUCGCGUUCAGUUUCUUAGCCCUGUGCGGAGCCCGAGUGAGCGCCCAAGAACCCGAGUUCAGCUACGGUUGCGCGGAGGGCAGCUGCUAUCCGGCCACAGGCGACCUUCUCAUCGGCCGAGCACAGAAGCUCUCAGUGACCUCGACAUGCGGGCUGCACAAGCCGGAGCCCUACUGUAUCGUCAGCCACCUCCAGGAGGACAAAAAAUGCUUCAUAUGCAAUUCACAAGACCCUUACCAUGAAACCCUCAAUCCUGACAGCCAUCUCAUUGAAAAUGUGGUCACAACAUUUGCUCCAAACCGCCUUAAGAUUUGGUGGCAAUCGGAAAACGGCGUGGAAAAUGUAACAAUCCAACUGGAUUUGGAAGCCGAAUUCCAUUUCACUCAUCUCAUCAUGACCUUCAAGACAUUCCGUCCAGCCGCCAUGCUGAUAGAACGAUCGUCCGACUUUGGCAAAACCUGGGGUGUGUACAGAUACUUUGCCUACGACUGUGAGAGCUCGUUCCCCGGCAUUUCCACCGGCCCUAUGAAGAAAGUCGACGAUAUCAUUUGUGAUUCCCGAUAUUCUGACAUCGAACCCUCAACGGAAGGAGAGGUGAUAUUUCGUGCUUUAGAUCCUGCUUUCAGAAUAGAAGAUCCUUACAGUCCGAGGAUACAGAAUCUCUUAAAAAUCACCAACUUGAGAAUCAAGUUUGUGAAACUGCAUACUUUGGGAGAUAACCUUUUGGAUUCCAGAAUGGAAAUCAGAGAAAAGUACUAUUACGCGGUUUACGAUAUGGUGGUUCGAGGGAAUUGCUUCUGCUACGGCCACGCCAGCGAGUGUGCCCCCGUGGACGGCUUCAGUGAAGAUGUGGAAGGAAUGGUUCAUGGACACUGCAUGUGCAGGCAUAAUACCAAGGGCUUAAACUGUGAGCUGUGCAUGGAUUUCUACCACGAUUUACCUUGGAGACCCGCUGAAGGUCGGAACAGCAAUGCCUGUAAAAAGUGUAACUGCAACGAGCAUUCCAGCUCAUGCCACUUUGACAUGGCAGUGUACUUGGCCACCGGAAACGUCAGCGGAGGGGUGUGUGAUGACUGUCAGCACAACACCAUGGGGCGCAACUGUGAGCAGUGCAAACCGUUUUACUACCAGCAUCCGGAGAGAGACAUCCGUGACCCUAAUUUCUGCGAACAAUGCACCUGUGACCCAGCUGGUUCUCAGAAUGGGGGAAUCUGUGACAGUUACACGGAUUUUUCUGCCGGUCUCAUUGCUGGUCAGUGUCGGUGUAAAUUACACGUGGAAGGAGAACAUUGUGACUUUUGCAAAGAAGGCUUCUAUGGUUUAAGUGCUGAAGAUCCAUUUGGUUGUAAAUCUUGUGCUUGCAAUCCUCUGGGAACGAUUCCUGGUGGGAGUCCUUGUGAUUCUGAGACGGGUUACUGCUACUGUAAGCGUCUGGUGACAGGACAGCAUUGUGACCAGUGUCUGCCAGAGCACUGGGGCUUAAGCAACGAUUUGGAUGGAUGUCGACCUUGUGACUGUGACCUUGGGGGAGCCUUAAACAAUAGUUGCUCUGCGGAGUCGGGCCAGUGCGUGUGCCGACCCCACAUGAUCGGACGUCAGUGUGACGAAGUGGAAUCCGGUUACUACUUCACCACCUUGGAUCACUACAUCUAUGAAGCAGAGGAAGCCAACUUUGGGCCUGGGGUCAGCAUAGUGGAGCGGCAGUAUGUCCAGGACCGGAUUCCUUCCUGGACCGGAGCGGGCUUCGUCCGGGUGCCCGAAGGGGCUUACUUGGAGUUCUUCAUUGACAACAUACCGUAUUCCAUGGAGUACGAGAUCCUAAUUCGCUAUGAGCCACAGCUCCCCGACCACUGGGAGAAGGCUGUCAUCAUGGUGCAGCGACCUGGGAAGAUUCCAACCAGCAGCCGAUGUGGAAACACUGUUCCCGAUGAUGACAACCAGAUGGUGUCCCUGUCGCCUGGCUCCAGGUAUGUGGUCCUCCCACGCCCCGUGUGCUUUGAGAAGGGCGUGAACUACACGGUGCGGUUAGAGCUGCCCCAGUACACGUCCUCCGACAGCAGUGUGGACAGCCCCUACACGCUGAUCGACUCCCUUGUUCUCAUGCCGUUCUGUAAGUCCCUGGACAUCUUCACCGUGGGAGGCUCGGGAGACGGGGUGGUCACCAACAGUGCCUGGGAAACCUUUCAGAGAUACCGAUGCCUGGAGAACAGCAGGAGCGUCGUGAAGACGCCCAUGACCGACGUUUGCAGAAACAUCAUCUUCAGCAUCUCCGCCCUGUUGCACCAGACGGGCCUGGCUUGUGAAUGCGACCCUCAGGGCUCAUUAAGUUCCGUCUGCAACCCCAACGGAGGCCAGUGCCAGUGCCGGCCGAACGUGGUUGGAAGAACGUGUGACAGAUGUGCUCCGGGCACCUUUGGUUUUGGCCCCAGUGGAUGCAAACCUUGCGAGUGCCACCUGCAAGGAUCCGUCAAUGCUUUCUGCGAUCCCAUCACCGGCCAGUGCCACUGUUUCCAGGGGGUGUACGCGCGGCAGUGUGACCGGUGCUUCCCCGGGUACUGGGGCUUUCCGAGUUGCCAGCCCUGCCAGUGCAACGGCCAUGCCGAUGACUGCGACUCGGUGACAGGGGAGUGCUUGAGCUGCCAGGACUACACCACGGGUCACAACUGUGAAAGGUGCUUGGCUGGUUACUAUGGAGACCCCAUCAUCGGGUCCGGCGAUCACUGCCGCCCUUGUCCUUGCCCGGAUGGUCCCGACAGCGGGCGCCAGUUUGCCAGCAGCUGUUAUCAGGACCCUGUUACUUUACAGCUUGCCUGUGUCUGUAAUCCUGGAUACGUUGGCUCCAGAUGCGACGACUGUGCCGCGGGCUUCUUCGGGAACCCCUCGGACAUGGGGGGCACAUGUCAGCCUUGCGAGUGCCACCACAACAUUGACACCGCGGACCCGGAAGCCUGCGACAAGGAGACGGGGCGGUGCCGGAAGUGCCUGUACCACACGGAAGGCGAGCGCUGCCAGCUGUGCCGCCGCGGGUACUACGGGGACGCCCUCCGGCAGGACUGCCGCAAGUGCGUCUGUAAUUACCUGGGCACAGUGCAGGAGCACUGUAACGGCUCUGACUGCCAGUGUGACACAGCCACCGGGCAGUGCUCGUGUCUCCCUCACGUGAUCGGCCAGAACUGUGACCGCUGCGCACCCAACACCUGGCAGCUGGCCAGCGGGACAGGGUGUGACCCGUGCAACUGUGACGCCGCCCAUUCCUUCGGGCCGUCUUGUAACGAGUUCACGGGGCAGUGCCAGUGCAUGCCUGGCUUCGGAGGCCGCACCUGCAGCGAGUGCCAGGAGCUCUUCUGGGGAGACCCCAGCGUGGAGUGCAGAGCCUGUGACUGCGACCCCAGGGGCAUUGAGACGCCACAGUGUGACCAGUCCACUGGCCAGUGUGUCUGCGUCGAGGGUGUGGAGGGUCCACGCUGCGACAGGUGCACUCGAGGGUACUCGGGGGUCUUUCCCGACUGCACACCCUGCCACCAGUGCUUUGCUCUCUGGGACGUGAUCAUCGCUGAGUUGACCAACAGGACCCAGAAGUUCCUGGAGAAAGCCAAGGCUCUGAAGAUCAGCGGCGUGAUCGGGCCUUACCGGGAGACCGUGGACUCGGUAGAGAAGAAGGUCCAUGAGAUCAGAGACAUCCUGGCCCAGAGCCCGGCCGCAGAGCCGCUGAAAAACAUUGGGAAUCUUUUCGAGGAAGCAGAGAAGCUAACCAAAGAUGUUACCGAAAAGAUGGCUCAAGUAGAAGUGAAAUUGUCUGACACAGCUUCGCAAAGCAACAGCACAGCCAGAGAGCUAGACUCUCUACAGGCAGAAGCAGAGAGCCUAGACAACACGGUGAGAGAGCUUGCUGAGCAACUGGAAUUCAUCAAAAACUCGGACAUUCGGGGCGCCUUGGAUAGCAUUACCAAGUAUUUCCAGAUGUCUCUAGAGGCGGAGGAGAGGGUGAAUGCCUCCACCACAGAUCCCAGCAGCACUGUGGAGCAGUCUGCCCUCACUCGAGACAGAGUCGAAGACCUGAUGAUGGAGCGAGAGUCCCAGUUCAGGGAAAGACAGGAGGAACAGUCCCGCCUCCUGGAUGAACUGGCAGGCAAACUUCAAAGUCUAGACCUUUCAGCUGCUGCCGAAAUGACGUGUGGGACGCCUCCAGGGGCCUCCUGUUCCGAGACGGACUGUGGUGGCCCGAACUGCAGAACCGACGACGGACACAAGAAGUGUGGGGGGCCAGGCUGCGGAGGGCUGGUCACUGCUGCGCACAGUGCCUGGCAGAAGGCCAUGGACUUUGACCGAGAUGUCCUGAGCGCCCUGGCGGAGGUGGAGCAGCUCUCCAAGAUGGUCUCUGAAGCAAAACUGAGGGCAGAUGAAGCGAAACAGAAUGCUCAGGACGUGCUACUGAAAACCAACGCUACCAAAGAAAAAGUGGACAAGAGCAAUGAGGACCUGAGGAAUCUAAUCAAGCAAAUCAGGAACUUCCUGACUCAGGACAGUGCUGAUCUGGACAGCAUUGAAGCCGUUGCUAAUGAAGUGCUGCGAAUGGAAAUGCCUAGCACCCCUGAGCAGUUACAGAACUUGACGGAAGAUAUUCGUCAACGGGUUGAAAGCCUGUCUCAAGUAGAGGUCAUUCUACAGCAGAGCGCUGCCGACAUUGCCCGAGCUGAGCUGUUGCUAGAGGAAGCUCAAAGAGCCAGCAAAAGCGCAACAGAUGUUAAAGUCACGGCAGAAAUGGUGAAAGAAGCUCUGGAAGAAGCAGAAAAGGCCCAGGUUGCAGCAGAGAAGGCCCUUAAACAAGCAGAUGAAGACAUCCAAGGAACCCAGAACCUGCUGACUUCAAUUGAAUCUGAAACCGCAGCUUCUGAGGAAACUUUGUUCAAUGCCUCCCAGCGCAUCAGUGAGCUAGAGAGGAACGUGGAAGAACUUAAGCGGAAAGCUGCCCAGAACUCCGGGGAGGCAGAAUAUAUUGAAAAAGUAGUAUACAGUGUGAAACAAAGUGCAGAAGAUGUUAAGAAGACUCUCGACGGUGAACUUGAUGAUAAGUACAAGAAAGUAGAAAAUUUAAUUGCCAAAAAAACUGAAGAGUCGGCUGAUGCACGAAGGAAAGCCGAAAUGCUACAAAAUGAAGCAAAAACGCUUUUGGCUCAAGCAAACAGCAAGCUGCAACUCCUGAAAGAUUUAGAAAGAAAGUAUGAGGACAAUCAAAAAUAUUUAGAAGAUAAAGCUCAAGAAUUAGUAAGAUUGGAAGGAGAAGUCCGUUCACUCCUAAAAGAUAUAAGCCAGAAAGUCGCUGUUUAUAGCACCUGCUUGUAACACAGGCGGCGGGAGCUCUAAACAACUGAAGAUCUCACUUUGAAAUUAAUUUUAAUCUGCUCAAUGAACUGGACAGCUAACAGCCACACCCUUCACAAGCCAAGAAAUUAUUUAGAACUUGUAAAUAACAGACGCUCCAUAUUCCAGUGCGAGAGCGGCUUCAUUUAUCAUUUCACCGGCACCCUUUAAGAUAAUACACCAAGAAGUAAUUUUGUUUCCAUGGCAAAGACGACUACCUUCUGAUAGGAGAGACUGUAACAGUUAAGCUUUUCCUGACUGGAGGCAGUUAACAGAUAAAGCAGCACACAAGUUAAGAGCUUGGGACCUGGAGCCAGGUGGCCUCGAUGCCAGUCCUGCCACUUACCACAUCAACUGCUUGCUGACUCUGCCUCAUUCUGUUUAUUCACCUCCAAAAUGGGAACAGCAACACUUACCUCGCAGGGUUGUGGAAAUUAAAGUUAAUGCACAUAUUUAGGAACAGCUGUUCCAGAGUAAGCACUCAAAUGUUCUAUUAUCACUACUGACACACCAGACACCCAGCAGAGGGCACACUUCACAUGCAGUGGUAGGAAAAGCUUCUCUUAGAAGUAACAUUGGAGCGGAGACCUGAAUAAUCAUCCAGCCAUGCAAAGAUCUGGAGGCAGAGGAUUCUAAGCAAAGGGUACAGUAAGCACAAAGCGCACACACA